rnacentral:tRNA from 1 species
GGUUCCUUAGCUCAGCUGGCAGAGCAACUGACUCUUAAUCAGUGGGUCUGGGGUUCGAUUCCCCAAGGGACCACCA